rnacentral:lncRNA from 1 species
GUAUCAUGCACUGCAGCGAAGUAGGAGAGAGAGAGAGAAAGAUGAGGUAAAUAAAAUUGUCUUCUAUCAUAUUCCAAAAUUGUAUGAUUUCAAUAUAUUUCAGGAUAUAGCUGGACAGAGAAAAUUUACCAGCACAUUUUAGAGAAUAUAUCAGGUGUAUAUAUAUAAAAAGCUCAUAUCUUAAAUCUCUUUUCAUAAGUAUGUAUAGAACAGUUAAAAUGUAAUAAAUGAUAGAGAUAAAAAGAUAGCAUAUGAAAGAGAUUAAUCCUAUUGUCUUCCAUGCUCUUAGAAAUGAAAAAGAUACAGAACAAAAAACAGGAAACUACCAAAUACCAAUAUAAAAUUUUGACCUUGGAAAAGAAGGGAUGCCACCAAAAGAAAUCUUCAGGACAGACUAUCUAGACAUGGAAAAUUAACAACCACAUUAGCAGAGAGAUUCUAUGAAAAUAAUAUUGCAAUAAAGUAGGAAGAAGUUAAAGAUAAUUAGACAAUGUAUGGCACAAAACAGAGGAUUAUUUAGUAUGAUGAUAGAAAUCCUUAAAAAGAAGCAAUAUAAAAAUGUAAUUAACAAGAGACUGACUGAGGAUAUCUUUAGUGCAUGGAGAUAUGAUUUAUUGAACCACAUAAAUAUAGAUUUAACUGUUCAUCAGAAAAGACACAAUUAUUUUAAUUAUGGAGUUAAUAAUAAAUUCUUCAAUCUGAUUUAAGU